AACGAACGCUGGCGGCAGGCCUAACACAUGCCAGUCGAGCGGACAUCUUCGGAUGUUAGCGGCGGACGGGUGAGUAACGCGUGGGAACGUGCCCUUUGCUUCGGAAUAGCCUCGGGAAACUUGGAGUAAUACCGGCUGUACCCUUUGGGGGAAAGAUUUAUCGGCAAAGGAUCGGCCCGCGUUGGAUUAGGUAGUUGGUGGGGUAAUGGCCUACCACGCCGACGAUCCAUAGCUGGUUUGAGAGGAUGAUCAGCCACACUGGGACUGAGACACGGCCCAGACUCCUACGGGAGGCAGCAGUGGGGAAUCUUAGACAAUGGGGGAAACCCUGAUGUAGCCAUGCCGCGUGAGCGAUGAAGGCCUUAGGGUUGUAAAGCUCUUUCACCGGGGAAGAUAAUGACGGUACCCGGAGAAGAAGCCCCGGCUAACUCCGUG
rnacentral:rRNA from 1 species